rnacentral:rRNA from 1 species
UACAGAGGGUGCGAGCGUUGUUCGGCAUUAUUGGGCGUAAAGCGCAUGUAGGCGGGUUGUUAAGUCGCGUGUGAAAGCCCCAGGCUCAACCUGGGAAGUGCGCGCGAAACUGGUAACCUUGAGUGCUGGAGAGGGUGGCGGAAUUCCCGGUGUAGAGGUGUAAUUCGUAGAUAUCGGGAGGAACACCAGAGGCGAAGGCGGCCACCUGGACAGACACUGACGCUGAGACGCGACAGCGUGGGGAGCAAACAGG